UACGAAGGGGGCUAGCGUUGUUCGGAUUUACUGGGCGUAAAGCGCACGUAGGCGGGUUGUUAAGUCAGGGGUGAAAUCCUGGAGCUCAACUCCAGAACUGCCUUUGAUACUGGCAACCUAGAGACUGGAAGAGGUUAGUGGAAUUCCCAGUGUAGAGGUGAAAUUCGUAGAUAUUGGGAAGAACACCAGUGGCGAAGGCGGCUAACUGGUCCAGUACUGACGCUGAGGUGCGAAAGCGUGGGGAGCAAACAGG
rnacentral:rRNA from 1 species